GAUGAACGCUGGCGAGAUGCUUUACACAUGCAAGUCAUACGAGAGUUUUUAACUCAAGUGGCGGACGGGUGAGUAACACGUAAGAAUUUACCUUUAGGAGGGGGAUAACAACGAGAAAUUGUUGCUAAUACCCCAUAUGCUUUCGAGUGAAAUGGAUUUUUCCGCCUAGAGAGAAGCUUGCGCCUGAUUAGCUUGUUGGUAAGGUAAUGGCUUACCAAGGCGACGAUCAGUAUCUGGUUUGAGAGGAUGAUCAGACACACUGGAACUGAGACACGGUCCAGACUCCUACGGGAGGCAGCAGUGGGGAAUUUUCCGCAAUGGGCGAAAGCCUGACGGAGCAAUCUCGCGUGAGGGAUGACGGCCUAUGGGUUGUAAACCUCUUUUUCAGGGAGGAAUAAAUGACGUGUACCUGAAGAAUAAGCAUCGGCUAACUCCGUGCCAGCCGCCGCGGUAAU
rnacentral:rRNA from 1 species